AUUCAGCUGAAAAGUCCCAAAUAGGACCAUACGCGCGUCGCGAAU
rfam:Schistosoma mattheei strain Denwood, Zambia genome assembly, scaffold: SMTD_contig0001000